UACGUAGGGUGCGAGCGUUAAUCGGAAUUACUGGGCGUAAAGUGUGCGCAGGCGGCCGCGCAAGUCGAGUGUGAAAGCCCCCGGGCUUAACUUGGGAAUUGCGCUCGAAACUACGUGGCUGGAGUGUGGCAGAGGAAGGUGGAAUUCACGUGUAGCGGUGAAAUGCGUAGAGAAUGUGGAGGAACACCAAUGGCGAAGGCAGCCUUCUAGGGCCGAACAC
rnacentral:rRNA from 1 species